UUUUAUUGUAUGUUUUAUUGAGCAGAUAAUGACCAUCAGAGAGAAACAGCAGACACAAAGGCACAAGAUGUCCUCUAUGCCUCCAUUGACCACAAUAACAUCAGUCCAAACAGACCUGUUCGAGACGUGGAUGACAAUGAUUGUGAUUAUUCUGUUGUAAUGCUCCCUCAAAACACAAAAGACUCAGCCAAGAACAAAAGCACUGAAGACUGUUCAGAUGAUUAUGUACUCAUGGGCUGAGCACUGAGAUGAUCCUGGCUGAAAUUUGCACAUUCAGCUGGAAUGGACACCUGAGAUACAUAGGCACAUCUUUAACAGCUUGUUACCUUUGUAUAGGUUCCAAUGAUAUUCAGCUUUUUUUUUUAAUUGUAUUUAUUUGUUUUUCUUUUACUUUCUUUUUAAUAAUUAUUUAAUUUCAAGUCUGUUUUUGUUACUUUAUGUUUAUAGCAUGAAGUUAAAUAUGCUAAAGACUUGAUAUUUUGAAGCAUAAUAAGUAAUACAACCUUCAUCUACAUGCACAGUGAAUAAAAGUGGAAUUAAGUCUG